CAGUAGCCGCGGUAAUACGAGGGGGGCAAGCGUUGUUCGGAAUUACUGGGCGUAAAGGGCGCGUAGGCGGCCAUUCAAGUUAGAUGUGAAAGCCCUGGGCUCAACCUAGGAAUUACAUUUGAUACUGUUUGGCUUGAGUUCGGGAGAGGUGAGUGGAAUUCCCAGUGUAGAGGUGAAAUUCGUAGAUAUUGGGAAGAACACCAGUGGCGAAGGCGGCUCACUGGACCGACACUGACGCUGAGGCGCGAAAGCGUGGGGAGCAAACAGGAUUAGAUACCCCCGUAGUCCCUGUCUCUUAUAC
rnacentral:rRNA from 1 species